rnacentral:lncRNA from 1 species
GUCUUGAAUUAUUUGCAAUAUUUGAGGAAUUCUUAUAAAAGACUUUUCCACUCUUACUAUAGUACGUAUGUAUAGGACCUCUCUAUCAAGAAUAAUAAGGCCAGUAGGACUGUGAUGUGAGCAAAGGGAACCAGAAGGAUAGAAUUCUAUUUUGCAAUUUAUACAUUCUCUUCUGAACAUGGAGAGAAAAACUGUGUAAAUUUUUUAGAAAAUUCUCCAAUUACAAUAAUGAUAGUAAGACAUGUCUAGGAAUUGAAUUGUAAUCUUUCUAUCGCCGAUUAUUGGAUCCUUGCAACUAAUGGUUGUAAAGUCAUCAAACAAUGGCAAGGCACACCUCAGAAAUUGGAAACAUAAGCUGUACAUGGGAGGUGAGCCAGGUGGCAGAUACGAUUGAUCCCUCAGUGUUUUUUAUUGAUCUGGAGAGUGAAAUGCAAUUGAUCUUUAUCCUAAUAGCUUGGUGAGCAGAAUUGAUCAUUAGUGUAAUCCUAAAGAUCCAUCCCAACUGACUUAUUUCGUGGAGCUAUAUUCUGAAAGAUGCAUUUAAGUCAUCCUUCUAGUAGGGGAAACCACUAGAACUUCCUUAUUGGUGUUAAGUUUAUUUAGUGCUUACAUAGCUCAAGAGUGUGUAUGUUGUUCGACUGACCUGAGGGUGCUAUCAUUUUUCCAUUGCCAAUAUUCAAUCUCGUUAAUAUGUAAGCUAGGUAGCAACUUUGUAGUAGGUAUUGGUACUUUAUCAUGGACGUAUUAUGUUUGGUUGUGGAAUGUAGAAUGUUAGUUAAACUUGUUAUGUUAUUGCAUCAAUGUUUAUGGUUUUCUGUUACUGUUGUUGCUACAAAAAUUAGUUUCUUUUUCCUUGACAGGGAAUGAUUAAUUCUUGGAGCGCCCCUUUUCUUGAUGCUUUUAGUGAUUCAAAGGAUGUUCGACUAUAUGAGGUAUAAGUAGUUGUAUAAAUCUUCAUCAUUGAUUCAACUUUCUGCUUUUACUGUAGGUAUUACCCAUUUGUGCUUUCAUCUAACCUAGUUUCUUGAAUUCUGUAAGUUUAUAUAGAGUUUCGUGCAAAGUGUGAUGCAAGUGUGAAGUAAGCCCUCUUAAUUAGUUAAAAGUGGGUGCAUCUAAUGGCAAUGUUUAUUAGAAAUUAUCUUUAACGGGUUUAAUAACAGCAUACAUUUUCUCUAAUAAAAUUUUCCAGAUAAACAUUGUUUUGAUUACAUGUAUAAAAACAUGAAGGUUAUCAUUAUUGAGACCUUUGUAUUGUCUUACUCGUUUUCUUUUUAUGUAUGUGAUGGAAAUGUGGGACUUGCAUGCAAUCCCCAAGGACUAACAUUUGUGUGACAUUUCUUCUUCUUUGCUUUAUUUGUUUUCUGUAUUGAUGGAGCCAUAGGAGGUGGAGGUCACUUGUCCUCAAUUUUGUUUGGGAAUGUACUUGUGCUAUAGUUAUUUUUUCUCUCAACUAAAUUGUAGCUUAUGCAUAUAGCAUACUGUGUUUGCGCGCGCGUAUGUGUGUUUUGUUGGGAAGUGGUGAACAGAAUCCAAGGCACAUCAGCC